UGUUUUCCUGUUGCUGUCAGAGGUCUGAUGGAGACUCAAGCUGAUUUCAGUGGGUCUGAUCUGGAUUCUGGUGAUCCUAAAGACCUGGACUUGCUCUGAAUCAGUCAUGAAGAAUAUGAAGGGUUCAUAUCCAGAUCCACAAAUAGCUGCUGCGCAGACUUCAUGAGAGUUGACCGCUGUGGGCGUGUCUUGGAUACAGAAGCUUCAAUCACUGGCUGCUGGUUUGAUUGACAGGAGCGUGUGAACCAAUCAGAAGAGGUCAGCACUGAUUCUGAAGGUUUAAAGCAGGACUGGUUUCUGCUCAGAGACGGUCAGUGCACUGAUGUUCUCCUCUAAUGUUCCUCUCUCUUGCUCUGUGGGAUUGUGUGAAUGAGGCUGAUAUUGUCCAGAGCUGCUGUGGCCGUUUGCUGUAUGAUGUAUUGAGCACUGCACGUUUGUCUGAGAUCUGAUACACAGCUCCUCUAAACAUGAUAAAUGCCCUUCCUAGUGUAAUAGAGACACACAUAAAGCAGAGGAAUGGAUGGAAACACUCACACUCACGUCUGUAAUCAGUCCCUCACCGCAGCGUUCAUGACAGACGCUCAGUCUCAUAUCUAAA